GCGGGUACUGCAUAGAGGUUGUGUUCUUACCUUCCAAGUAAGAGGGGCGGGUUCAAUUCCCGCUACCCGCU
rnacentral:tRNA from 1 species